UGCCUCCAGGAUGGGGACAACAGACGGAAACGACUGCUAAUACCGAAUAAGUUCCAAGAGCCGCAUGGCCCAUGGAAGAAAAGGUGGCCUCUACCUGUAAGCUAUCGCCUGAAGAGGGGUUUGCGUCUGAUUAGCUGGUUGGAGGGGUAACGGCCCACCAAGGCGACGAUCAGUAGCCGGUCUGAGAGGAUGAACGGCCACACUGGAACUGAGACACGGUCCAGACUCCUACGGGAGGCAGCAUG
rnacentral:rRNA from 1 species